rnacentral:rRNA from 1 species
UACGUAGGGUGCAAGCGUUGUCCGGAUUUAUUGGGCGUAAAGGGCGCGUAGGCGGCUUGACAAGUCCCGGGUGAAAUCCCUCGGCUCAACCGAGGAACUGCCUUGGAAACUGUCUGGCUUGAGGCCGGGAGAGGGAUGCAGAAUUCCAGGUGUAGCGGUGAAAUGCGUAGAUAUCUGGAGGAAUACCGGUGGCGAAGGCGGCAUCCUGGACCGACAUUGACGCUGAUGAGCGAAAGCUAGGGGGAGCAAACGGG